CUUUUUAUUCCGCGUUUAGACGAGCGUUUUGGGGGGGAAAUCUGUGUGCAUAUGGUCACGCAAAAGUGUGUGAAAUUCGAUGUAGUAUGCACACCAGGCAGCUAGGUAGUAGUGUGAAGCACUGCCACAGAACACCACC